rnacentral:rRNA from 1 species
UACGGAGGGUGCGAGCGUUAAUCGGAAUUACUGGGCGUAAAGCGCGCGUAGGCGGCUUGAUAAGUUGGAUGUGAAAUCCUCGGGCUUAACCUGAGAACUGCAUCCAAUAUUGGGUAGCUAGAGUUUGAGAGAGGUGGGUGGAAUUUCCGGUGUAGCAGUGAAAUGCGUAGAGAUCGGAAGGAACACCAGUGGCGAAGGCGGCCCACUGGCUCAAAACUGACGCUGAGACGCGAAAGCGUGGGGAGCAAACAGG